GGCCCUUUACUCUCAAGUGGUUAGAGAAUCCGACUCAUAAUCGGUAGGCUCUGAGUUCGAAUCUCAGAAGGGCCA
rfam:Klebsiella phage K64-1 DNA, complete genome.